CUACGGGGGGCAGCAGUGGGGAAUAUUGCACAAUGGGCGCAAGCCUGAUGCAGCCAUGCCGCGUGUGUGAAGAAGGCCUUCGGGUUGUAAAGCACUUUCAGUAGGGAGGAAGGUGGUAGUGUUAAUAGCGCUAUCAUUUGACGUUACCUACAGAAGAAGCACCGGCUAACUCCGUGCCAGCAGCCGCGGUAAUACGGAGGGUGCGAGCGUUAAUCGGAAUUACUGGGCGUAAAGCGCAUGCAGGUGGUUUGUUAAGUCAGAUGUGAAAGCCCCGGGCUCAACCUGGGAAUUGCAUUUGAAACUGGCAAACUAGAGUACUGUAGAGGGGGGUAGAAUUUCAGGUGUAGCGGUGAAAUGCGUAGAGAUCUGAAGGAAUACCGGUGGCGAAGGCGGCCCCCUGGACAGAUACUGACACUCAGAUGCGAAAGCGUGGGGAGCAAACAGGAUUAGAUACCCGUGUAGUC
rnacentral:rRNA from 1 species